AUUGAACGCUGGCGGCAUGCUUUACACAUGCAAGUCGAACGGUAACAGGCCGCCAGGUGCUGACGAGUGGCGAACGGGUGAGUAAUGCAUCGGAACGUGCACAGUCGUGGGGGAUAACUACUCGAAAGAGUAGCUAAUACCGCAUACGAUCUAUGGAUGAAAGCGGGGGACCGUAAGGCCUCGCGCGAUUGGAGCGGCCGAUGUCAGAUUAGGUAGUUGGUGGGGUAAAGGCUCACCAAGCCAACGAUCUGUAGCUGGUCUGAGAGGACGACCAGCCACACUGGGACUGAGACACGGCCCAGACGCCUACGGGAGGCAGCAGUGGGGAAUUUUGGACAAUGGGCGCAAGCCUGAUCCAGCAAUGCCGCGUGCAGGAAGAAGGCCUUCGGGUUGUAAACUGCUUUUGUACGGAACGAAACGGCUCUGGUUAAUACCCGGGGCUAAUGACGGUACCGUAAGAAUAAGCACCGGCUAACUACGU
rnacentral:rRNA from 1 species